rnacentral:rRNA from 1 species
GACGAACGCUGGCGGCGUGCUUAACACAUGCAAGUCGAACGAAGUGGCGCACGGGUGAGUAACGCGUAAUCAACAUGCCCUUCAGAGGGGGACAACAGUUGGAAACGACUGCUAAUACCGCAUACUGAAGGUGGGGAUUGUGUCUGAUUAGCUAGUUGGAGGGGUAACGUCCAACCAAGGCGCAGAUCAGUAGCCGGUCUGAAACGAUGAGUGGCCAAGUUGGGACUGAGACUCUGCGCAGACUCCUACGGGAAGCAACAGUGGGGGAUCAUGCGCAAUGGAAGAAAGUCUUACGGAGCAACGCCGCGUGGCAGAUAACGGCCUUCGGGUUGUAAAGCUCUGUUAAUCGGGGCGCGGUACCGGAAUAGAAAGCAACGGCUAACUACGUGCCAGCAGCCGCGGUAAUAC